GGGCUAACCAUGCAAGUCGAACGGCAGCACAGGAGAAGCUUGCUCUCUGGGUGGCGAGUGGCGGACGGGUGAGGAAUACAUCGGAAUCUACCUUUUCGUGGGGGAUAACGUAGGGAAACUUACGCUAAUACCGCAUACGACCUACGGGUGAAAGUGGGGGACCGCAAGGCCUCACGCGAUUAGAUGAGCCGAUGUCCGAUUAGCUAGUUGGCGGGGUAAUGGCCCACCAAGGCGACGAUCGGUAGCUGGUCUGAGAGGAUGAUCAGCCACACUGGAACUGAGACACGGUCCAGACUCCUACGGGAGGCAGCAGUGGGGAAUAUUGGACAAUGGGCGCAAGCCUGAUCCAGCCAUACCGCGUGGGUGAAGAAGGCCUUCGGGUUGUAAAGCCCUUUUGUUGGGAAAGAAAUCCUGUCGAUUAAUACUCGGUGGGGAUGACGCUACCCAAAGAAUAAGCACCGGCUAACUUCGUGCCNGCACCCGCGGUAAUACGAAGGGUGCAAGCGUUA
rnacentral:rRNA from 1 species